rnacentral:lncRNA from 1 species
CUGGACUGAGGAAGCCUUAAUAAUUUCGAACAGUAUAGUGCUAGUGAAAUUGUGAGGAGGAUAAAAUAUACUUUUGGUGAAAACUUACAGAUACUUAGAGAGCACACCUUGAGGCGACGAUUUUGGAUGCUGAUUAUGGAACGAGAGAACACCAUAUUGAACAUUCUUUUGCGGGAGGCAAAUAAAAACGACUUCGCUUUUGCACUUACACACAAAAUCAAGAACCUCGAGCAACUGCAAACAUUUAAAGGACUUGCUUAUAACACUCACAAGGAGAUGAAGAAUCGCGUUUGUUUUGCAACUAGCUUAUCAAAAUAGCCGUCUUUUAUUUCGUCUGCAGCGGACACUUCGCGGUCCGCAGGCGUCUGCAAUCGUCUUUUAUUAUUUUGCAGAUGACUUGGAGUGGGCGGGGCUUAAUUUUGGGGAUUUUAAGCGGACACAAGAAUUCGCCUGGAUGCGGACAACUGUAGACGAUCGCGGUCCGCGGUCGUCUGCGUGGUCUGGAGCUCGCAGACCGUAGACCGCGGACGAAACCCUAACCUCUCCAUUUCAUCAUUCUCUCUCACCGCGAAGUGCGAACCAACUCCGUACCAGCCAUUGCCGGUUAAAUAACCACGUGCAUCUCGCGGUCAGUUUAUUAUUUGUUAAUUUUAAUUAUUUAACUAUAGUGCACGAUUCGGAAGAACAAAGCAAGCUUCUCGUCUAUUUAUCAGACGGAAAUCAAUUGGUGGUACACCUGACGGUCGAGCAAUGUGAGAAUUUCGAAAGAAGUGUUGAUGAGCAGAAGAGUUACGCAACUGAAAUGCUGCAACAACUUCAAGCCAUGGAGAAAGUCCCUGUUGAAGUGUUCAUAGUACGAACAGAAUUUCGUGGUUGUGAUAGACCUGCCACAUCUGGAGAUGUAAAUAACCGUGCGGAGCAGCAAAAUGAUGUCCAGGAUGAGGGAGCGGUAUCAGAUGAGGACAUCGAGUUUGAAAAUGAAUGUGCAGCAAGCACUUUUUGGACCAAGGAAAUAACAGUUACGAUGGAUGGCAGGACUAUUACUAAUCCCACAGAAUUACUGAUCAGAACAUAUGGCCUUAAAAAUUUCAGGAAAUGUUCAAUGGUAAAACAAUCAGACGCGUUGAUGUGUGGGCCAAAAUUGCAGAGCAGAUGGCACAACUUGGUUGCAAAGUCCCGCCGGGGAAGAACGGUGAAAAACCGGGAGCUGUUUGUGAUAUCAAAUUUCGGGCCAUUAAGCCCGUUUAUACCGACACAAGACACCCAAAACAGGAGAAGGAAAACGGAAGAAACCAUUUUAUUUCGAUACAAUGGACGAGGUUAUUGGUGAUCACCAAUUAACAUCUCCGAAAAACCUCAGGGACACCAUCUGGACCACUACUCCUAGCAGCUCCGAAGGUAAUUGUGAGGAAAACGAAGAUCCAGAUGAGCCAACAACACCAUUGAGUUCACUUGGAAAAUCUGGGAGUAAGAGAGUUCCCCUAAGGGAAGUUACGAAUUUAAAGAAGAAAUUGAAGCCUUCGUCUUCAACCUCAAAUGAUAAGUUGUUAAAUUAUCUCGAAAAUCUGAGGAAAGAGCACGUAAAGAAAGAGGAAGAGCGCAGAGAGCGAGCACAGCUUUUAAAGGAAAUGCAUCAAAUUGAUGUUGCCCAAACUGAAAGAUUGAUAGAAGCCCUAGUAGCCAAUGCCAACAAAAACUAAAUUUUAUUAGGUAAUUCUUACUCUUCAUAGCUUAAAUUUGUAAAUACGUUGGCAGUUUUGCCCCAAAUUCUAACCUGCAUUCAGUCAUUUCUAUUAAGUUUAUAUUUCUUUACUGAGUUUAUUUGUUUGUUGUCAUGUUGGCCACUAGUUCUAGCAACUAAAUAAGUGAGGAAGAGCCUUCAAAGAAAGGGAGGAAGAGCACAGAGUGAGAACAGCUUUUGAGAGAAAUGCAUCAAGUUGAUGCUGCCCAAACUGAAAGAUUGAUAGAUGCCCUAGUAGCCCAUGCCAACAAGAACUACAUUUUUAUUAGGUAAUUCUUACUCUUUAUAGCUUAAACUUGUAAAUACGUUGGCAAUUUUGCCCCAAGUUUUUUCCUCUAUUUAGUCAAUUCUAUUAAGUUUUCAUUUGUUUAUUGGCUCAUGAUCUUUGAAUAUUUACAGAUGUUGACACAGGUCAGAAUUUUAAAACUGUUGAAUAUGUAAUUACAGUUUUAUUCAUUUUGUUUUGUAAAUAUGUUGGCAUUUAUGGCAUUUAUUAUUUUCUCAUAUUUAUUUCGUUGUUGCUACUAAGAUUUUUUCUGUUAUUAAGUACUCCUAAUUUUUCAUUCAGAUGUUUCCUCACUCAAUCAAGGUUGGUCAACUUUGCAUUGGCCAAGCUUAGUCUCACAAGGAACCUUGUGAGUACAGGAAUGAUUUAUUACUUUAAGUUCCCUACUUCCAUGCAUUGCUUACUGUGCAAUGCUUAGAAAAUUGCCCAGCUUUAUAUUUUCACAGCAGUGAACUAAGAGCAUGCAAAGUUGCAACCUUACUGCAAAUUUUACAACAAAAUUUUGAACUUUCUACGAUUUUGUUUAACCUGAAUGAAAAUAUUAUGUGGCGCUAUUAACAGCUCCACUGAUCUCAGCUAAGUUGCUGAUUUAUGUGAUAAUUCAUUUAUUUAACCUUUUAUGUAGUCAUUUCUUCAUUAAUUUUUAAUACCUAUAGUACCUUUUCAUAUCCCACUGAUCUCUUGUCACAAUAUGAUUCUCAUCACCUCAUAUCAUCAUGGAAUUACAUCUUUGCCACUGAAAGAAUCCUUCUUCUUCAUUUAAUCAUUUUUCGUUUUCCCACUCUCUCCAUGUAAUUGACUAUUACUUUAUUUAAUUUCCAUGCUCAAUCGUCUUUUCACUAACGUAGGUACUUAGUUAUUUUGUUCUUUUUAAUCUCUCAAAAACCAUUUCAUGCCUCACUGAUAUCUGAACGAGGGUUAUUCUAAUUUUUCGUGCAGUUGCACGACUUUUAACCUACAUAUUGAAUUGGAACGCAAUUGUAUUUGUCUGUUAUUUAUUUAAUAAAAAUUUUCUACCUCA